rnacentral:rRNA from 1 species
CUACGGGUUGCUCCAGUGAGGAAUAUUGCACAAUGGGGGGAACCCUGAUGCAGCAACGCCGCGUGGAGGAUGACGCAUUUCGGUGUGUAAACUCCUUUUAUAUGUCAAGAAAAUGACGGUAGCAUAUGAAUAAGCACCGGCUAACUCCGUGCCGGCAGCCGCGGUAAUACGGAGGGUGUAGCGUUACUCGGAAUCACUGGGCGUAAAGGACGCGUAGGCGGGUUGGAAAGUCAGGUGUGAAAUCCUACAGCUUAACUGUAGAACUGCACUUGAAACUUCUAAUCUAGAGUAUGGGAGGGGGAGAUGGAAUUAGUGGUGUAGGAGUAAAAUCCGUAGAUAUCACUAGGAAUACCUAAAGCGAAGGCGAUCUCCUGGAACAUUACUGACGCUAAGGCGUGAAAGCGUGGGGAGCAAACAGGAUUAGAUACCCCAGUAGUC